CAGCAUCUUAGAUGCUUUUAUUAUGCAAGAUGCAUGGGUAAUAAGCAGGCAGAACUUGAAGUGCUAAUAAAUAAAUACAACUAUGACAUUGUUGGCAUCACUGAAACUUGGUGGGAUAAUACACGAU